AAGAUUUCGGUUUUUAUCUUAGUGGCGCACGGGUGAGUAACACGUGAAUAACCUGACCCAAAGAGGGGGAUAACACCUGGAAACAGGUGCUAAUACCGCAUAAGACCACAAUGUCGCAUGACGAAGGGGUCAAAGAAAAUCGCUUUGGGAGGGGUUCGCGUCCCAUUAGGUAGUAGGCGGGGUAAUAGCCCACCUAGCCGACGAUGGGUAGCCGAGCUGAGAGGCUGAUCGGCCACACUGGAACUGAGACACGGUCCAGACUCCUACGGGAGGCAGCAGUGGGGAAUAUUGGGCAAUGGGCGCAAGCCUGACCCAGCAACGCCGCGUGAGGGAAGAAGGUUUUCGGAUUGUAAACCUCUGUCGCAGAAGACGAAGGAAGUGACGGUAUUCUGUGAGGAAGCCCCGGCUAACUACGUGCCAGCAGCCGCGGUAAUACGUAGGGGGCGAGCGUUGUCCGGAAUUACUGGGCGUAAAGGGAGCGUAGGCGGUCUGAUAAGUUGGAUGUGAAAUACCCGGGCUUAACUUGGGGGGUGCAUCCAAUACUGUUGGACUAGAGUACAGGAGAGGAAAGCGGA
rnacentral:rRNA from 1 species